GGCGGCGGAGCCCCGGCUCAGGCGUCGCCUUCCCGCGGUGACCUUGAGCCGGCCGCCUCGGGAUUCUCGGGGGUUUCUUCCCUCCCUGGGAAGGGCAUGGUUUCUAGCUUUGCAGACCGAACACACACGGUGUUCAGACCCAGGUGGCCCGCGUGGGCAGCCCCAGGACCACGAAGGGACCACCGACGCUGGUGAAUUUCCUCUGACAACGAUGAAGCAAGCUGCACUUGCUGUUCCUUCUAUGCAGCCACUUUGCCUUUGGCAAAUUGGACCCAUUUAUGCCUUCCAGAUCUCAGGUGCCGUCUUUCAAUACCAGCAAUUCAAUUUGAAACCAACAGCCUGCAUCAGCCUCUAAAACUUUGAAACCCAAAUAAAGUCCUGGAGACAGUUUUAUAUAAUACAUUUGGAGUAAAUUAUA